rnacentral:tmRNA from 1 species
GGGGAUGAUCGGUUUCGACGUGUGUGCUUUCCUCAGGGGAAGCGGGCCGAGGACGUCACGUUAUCUCGUUAACGCUCGUGGCAAACCAAUAGGUGCCGAUUCCAAGCGCACCGACUUCGCCCUCGCUGCCUAAGCGAGCCCCGAAGUCCGUCAGCCCAGGCUAGAUCCCGACCUGGUCCCUGGCGUCAUCUAGGGAACUGGCUCCACUCCUUCGUCGACGGGGGUGGGGGACUCUUAGUCGACUGGGGCUAUCGCACAGGCUCGUCUGAAGGUCGUGCGGGUCCGAGACAAUGAGCAUUCAGACUGCGCCCGGAGAAUACCUGUCGUCGUACAUGCGGACGCGGGUUCGAUUCCCGCCAUCUCCAC